rnacentral:rRNA from 1 species
UACGGAGGGAGCUAGCGUUGUUCGGAAUUACUGGGCGUAAAGCGCGCGUAGGCGGCUUUGUAAGUUAGAGGUGAAAGCCCGGAGCUCAACUCCGGAACUGCCUUUAAAACUGCAUCGCUUGAAUCCAGGAGAGGUGAGUGGAAUUCCGAGUGUAGAGGUGAAAUGCGUAGAUAUCGGAAGGAACACCAGUGGCGAAAAGCGGCUUCCUGGUCCAGCACCGACGU